UUUGAAUCCUCUGUUAGUGGCCGUUAUGGUGGUCUCGUCGAACGUCUUUUUAUUCUCUUCUUGAUUUCUCUCUGCAUGGGACCCUGGGUAGUUUCUAGUAUGUCUCUUACUUUCUCUCUCGCUCUCAUUCUUUUUGUGCUUUCAGUGAUACAGAAAGACACUGACCUCGAUUUUCGCAUCUGAAUUGUAUGGUUUGUUUUUUCUGUUUUUGUUGUUGUUGGGAAUGAGAUAGAAGAGAGGGUGAGAAGCGAAUCAAAAGGAAAUGCUGGUGUUUAAUCAUGCCUGAUCUUGGUUUUGGGCGCCGUCUUCUUUCUGGCGGUGCUGUUUUGUGGAUUUUCGAAGAGGCUGAAGCUCAAAAGCCUUUCCGGUGGACUAGAGAGUUGAGCUGAGUGAGCAUAGAGCUCGUGACAGGAUUAGGCACCGCCGAAUCUUGCAGGGUGGAAAGCUAUGUGAGUCUAUAUUGUUCUUUCUCUUUUGGUUCUUCUGACGUACUUCAUAGAUGGGCUUUCGAAGAUGUUGAUUAUUCUUCUCUAUUUGUUUAAUUUCUUCGGCUUUUGAUCUCUUUAAGACUCUACUGGGUGGGGAUUUAUCGACUCUAUUUUACUAGAGUAAAAUUUGGGGACUCCUCCAAAAGAAUUCUAUGUACAAAUUGACAUGGAAGUGAUGUCUUGUGGAUCACCUGCAAUGCCUGCACUGGUUGCCCCAAAUAUAGGGGCCCGAAUAUUGCUUUGAAUUUCUUUGACGUUAUCGCCUCAUCCACAACUUCUCUAGUAUCUUGUUCAGAUGAAAUAUGUGAUUUGGCGGUUCAAACUUUAGAUGGUGGCUGCACUGCUCAGAAUUCCCAGUGUGGUUACUCCUUUUAGUAUGGUGAUGGAAGUGUAGAAGAUAUGUUCUUCUUUGACACAGUUCUCAAGAAAUCCUUCGUGUUUGAGACGGAAGUAGCAACUAUCAGUCUGGAGAUUUGACCAAGCCAGACAGCAGUUAAUGGGAUUUUUGGGUUUGGGCAGCACGAAUUGUCUGUCAUUUCACAACUAUCCUCACGAGGAGUUGCACCAAAGGUGUUUUCUCAUUGCUUAUAGGAGCUAAUAGUGGUGGAGGUAUAUUGGUUUUUGGUGGGAUUGUGGAGCCAAAUAUUGUCUAUCCUCUUGUUCCAAAUCAGUUCAUUGUGUCUCCACAAUUUCUGGUGUGGAUGAAUUUAUCAACACAGGACAGCCAAGUGUGAGCAGUUCAUCAGAGAUUGUUCCAUGCAGACUGAUAUCAAGCAGUACAGUAGCUAUGGUGUUUCAAUUGCAGGUGCAUCUUUGUAUGGAGGUUCAUCACUGACCUGAGUACCCCUUGUCUUCACAGGUGACUGUACACACAAGAUUUGAAUAAUGUUGGUCACAAGAUUGUCAUGUCUGAAUGCACAAGUAGCUAUAACAGUAAAUUUUUAGGAGAUCACAACAUUGAUCUACAAAUCCCCAAUGUUCGCAACACAGGAGUAGACGGAGCUAUCUUCUUAUACACAGGGUUAAUUCCAAUUUGGGCUGUAAGCCAGAUGGCCUCACAAAGAAACACUGAAAGAAGAGAUGCUGCUAUGAUUCUAUAGCAGCAUUACAUAAAGGGCAGAGUUUUUAUGUUUCCUAUAAAAAAAGGAGUUUGUCUCUGGUUUUCACUCCACCCCACCAUGCCUUCCACAUGAAUAUUUGAAACCUGAAGGGCACUUUUGUUUUCCAGAUGAGAUUCCAGUUCUCAUGUGGUCUUGAGGAGGAUGGUAGCUGAUAUAAAGAAUUUGUAGUCUGUUUUGACACAGAAGCACUUGAGGAUUGUUGCUUUGAGCCUAUCAUUCGAAAGAUCAAAGCUAUAAUUGAAGGUUGGAAGGCUAAACUUUUGACAAUUGGAGUUGUUGCUUCCAUCUCUGCUGGCAAUGAUGAUAGCAUUGAGUGAAUCUUCAUCAUCCUUUGAGACAACUGUAGAGGUGGAAGGAAUGGGGGUCUGUAUCUUUUACAUAGUUUGUCACAAAGCCUGAGAAAAACGAUUAUUGGAUUUGAGAAUGCAAAGAUCUUGGUAACUGAUCAGAAGAUUUCAAUAAUACCUCUGUUGGAGAAGACCACACAGCUAAGAGCUCCUCUACUCAUCAUAGCUGAAGAUGUCACAUAAUUCCUCUAUUUUUUAUCUUGGUUUUUGGGAGAGGAACAAGAGGUCUAAAUAUUCACUGACUGUUUUUCUGGUCUGUAUUUUUACUUGGGAGGAGGCCACACUGUUGAUUUUUCUUGGAGCACAAACCCUCAUGGAUUGCAACUAACUAUACAUACAUAAAAAAACAAAGAAGAGAGAGGGAGAGAGUGAAGCAUUCCUAGCAAUAACCACAAUUAACCAAGUCUUGCAUUGAUGUGAACAAGAUUUGCAUGCAUGCUUGAGAAUGUAGUGCUUUGACAGGUACAAAAUUACAUAUGGUAAAUUUGUUAAAAAGUGAGCCACUUGAAGCUCUUGCCCCACCUUGGGUGGGAAUUUUUCC